rnacentral:rRNA from 1 species
UACGUAGGGCGCAAGCGUUGUCCGGAAUUAUUGGGCGUAAAGAGCUCGUAGGCGGUUUGUCGCGUCUGCUGUGAAAACCUAAGGCUCAACCUUGGGCUUGCGGUGGGUACGGGCAGACUAGAGUGCGGUAGGGGAGAUUGGAAUUCCUGGUGUAGCGGUGGAAUGCGCAGAUAUCAGGAGGAACACCGAUGGCGAAGGCAGAUCUCUGGGCCGUAACUGACGCUGAGGAGCGAAAGCAUGGGGAGCGAACAGG